UACGUAGGGUCCGAGCGUUGUCCGGAAUUAUUGGGCGUAAAGGGCGCGUAGGCGGUUCUUCAAGUCUCUCGGGAAAUCCCUCGGCUUAACUGAGGACGUGCGGGAGAUACUGAAGGGCUUGAGUCCGGAAGAGGGUGGUGGAAUUCCCAGUGUAGCGGUGAAAUGCGUAGAUAUUGGGAGGAACACCGGUGGCGAAGGCGGCCACCUGGGCCGGAACUGACGCUGAGGCGCGAAAGCGUGGGGAGCAAACGGG
rnacentral:rRNA from 1 species